rnacentral:rRNA from 1 species
CAGUCGCCACGGUAAUACGAAGGGGGCUAGCGUUGCUCGGAAUUACUGGGCGUAAAGCGCACGUAGGCGGAUACUUAAGUUAGGGGUGAAAUCCCAGGGCUCAACCCUGGAACUGCCUUUAAUACUGGGUAUCUUGAGUAUGGAAGAGGUGAGUGGAAUUCCGAGUGUAGAGGUGAAAUUCGUAGAUAUUCGGAGGAACACCAGUGGCGAAGGCGGCUCACUGGUCCAUUACUGACGCUGAGGUGCGAAAGCGUGGGGAGCAAACAGGAUUAGAUACCCCAGUAGUCCCUGUCUCUUAUAC